AUUGAACGCUGGCGGCAGGCCUAACACAUGCAAGUCGAACGGUAACAGGAAGCAGCUUGCUGCUUUGCUGACGAGUGGCGGACGGGUGAGUCAUGUCUGGGAAACUGCUCGAUGGAGGGGGAUAACUACUGGAAACGGUAGCUAAUACCGCAUAACGUCGCAAGACCAAAGAGGGGGACCUUAGGGCCUCUUGCCAUCGGAUGUGCCCAGAUGGGAUUAGCUAGUAGGUGGGGUAACGGCUCACCUAGGCGACGAUCCCUAGCUGGUCUGAGAGGAUGACCAGCCACACUGGAACUGAGACACGGUCCAGACUCCUACGGGAGGCAGCAGUGGGGAAUAUUGCGCAAUGGGCGAAAGCCUGAUGCAGCCAUGCCGCGUGUAUGAAGAAGGCCUUCGGGUUGUAAAGUACUUUCAGCGGGGAGGAAGGAAGUAAAGUUAAAACCUGUGCUUAUUGACGUUACCCGCAGAAGAAGCACCGGCUAACUCCGUG
rnacentral:rRNA from 1 species